UGAUAUCCUCCGUCCUCUACCUGACCCUUACAGACGCAGAUGCCGGACCCGAAGACGUUCAAGCAGCACUUUGAGAGCAAGCAUCCCAAAUCCCCAAUGCCCCCAGAGCUGGAUGAUGUUGAGGCUUAAAAGACCAACACACACAAUGGACCUACAGCUGGACACACGAUGACCACGAUUAGAGCGCUGCAACUGGAACUUAAUGGCGUCAAGAGA